AUGAACGCUGGCGGCGUGCCUAAUACAUGCCAGUCGAGCGAACAGACGAGGAGCUUGCUCCUCUGACGUUAGCGGCGGACGGGUGAGUAACACGUGGAUAACCUACCUAUAAGACUGGGAUAACUUCGGGAAACCGGAGCUAAUACCGGAUAAUAUAUUGAACCGCAUGGUUCAAUAGUGAAAGACGGUUUUGCUGUCACUUAUAGAUGGAUCCGCGCCGCAUUAGCUAGUUGGUAAGGUAACGGCUUACCAAGGCAACGAUGCGUAGCCGACCUGAGAGGGUGAUCGGCCACACUGGAACUGAGACACGGUCCAGACUCCUACGGGAGGCAGCAGUAGGGAAUCUUCCGCAAUGGGCGAAAGCCUGACGGAGCAACGCCGCGUGUGUGAUGAAGGUCUUCGGAUCGUAAAACUCUGUUAUUAGGGAAGAACAAAUGUGUAAGUAACUAUGCACGUCUUGACGGUACCUAAUCAGAAAGCCACGGCUAACUACGUG
rnacentral:rRNA from 1 species